AGAGUUGAUUAUGGCUCAGGACAACGCUGGCGGCGUGCUUAACACAUGCAAGUCGAGCGAUGAAGCUCCUUCGGGAGUGGAUUAGCGGCGGACGGGUGAGUAACACGUGGGUAACCUGCCUCAUAGAGGGGAAUAGCCUUUCGAAAGGAAGAUUAAUACCGCAUAAGAUUGUAGUACCGCAUGGUACAGCAAUUAAAGGAGUAAUCCGCUAUGAGAUGGACCCGCGUCGCAUUAGCUAGUUGGUGAGGUAACAGCUCACCAAGGCGACGAUGCGUAGCCGACCUGAGAGGGUGAUCGGCCACAUUGGGACUGAGACACGGCCCAGACUCCUACGGGAGGCAGCAGUGGGGAAUAUUGCACAAUGGGGGAAACCCUGAUGCAAGCAACGCCGCGUGAGUGAUGACGGUCUUCGGAUUGUAAAGCUCUGUCUUUAGGGACGAUAAUGACGGUACCUAAGGAGGAAGCCACGGCUAACUACGUGCCAGCAGCGGC
rnacentral:rRNA from 1 species